rnacentral:tRNA from 1 species
UCCCGUGUGGCUCAGUUGGUAGAGCAUGGUGUUUGCAACGCCAGGGUUGUGGGUUCGUUUACCACGGGGG